AAUGAACGCUGGCGGCGUGCUUAACACAUGCAAGUCGAACGAGAAAGGGGUGGCGACACCCCGAGUAAAGUGGCGCACGGGUGAGUAGCGCGUAGGUGACCUGCCUUCGGGUUGGGGAUAACAGGGCGAAAGCUCUGCUAAUACCGGAUGAGACUGUCCUUUCGGGGACAGUGAAAGGGUGCGAUUCCUUCGGGGAGCAUCCGCCUGGGGAGGGGCCUGCGUCCUAUCAGCUAGUUGGUGGGGUAACGGCUCACCAAGGCGACGACGGGUAGCUGGUCUGAGAGGAUGAUCAGCCACACUGGCACUGACACACGGGCCAGACUCCUACGGGAGGCAGCAGUGAGGAAUUUUGCGCAAUGGGGGAAACCCUGACGCAGCAACGCCGCGUGGGUGAUGAAGGCCUUCGGGUCGUAAAGCCCUGUCGGGCGGGAAGAAGGGGUUUUGGGCAAAUAGCCCGAGAUUUUGACGGUACCGCCAGAGGAAGCACCGGCUAACUCCGUGCCAGCAGCCGCGGUAAUACGGAGGGUGCGAGCGUUAUUCGGAAUUACUGGGCGUAAAGCGCGUGCAGGCGGAAGGAGCAGUCUGAUGUGAAAGCCCGGGGCUUAACCCCGGAAGAGCAUUGGAAACCAUCCUUCUUGAGUGCUGGAGAGGAAGGGGGAAUUCCCGGUGUAGAGGUGAAAUUCGUAGAGAUCGGGAGGAAUACCAGUGGCGAAGGCGCCCUUCUGGACAGUCAAACUGACGCUGAGACGCGAAAGCGUGGGGAGCAAACAGGAUUAGAUACCCUGGUAGUCCACGCUGUAAACGAUGAGAACUAGGUGUAGCGGGUACUCAUUCCUGCUGUGCCGAAGCUAACGCGUUAAGUUCUCCGCCUGGGGAUUACGGUCGCAAGACUAA
rnacentral:rRNA from 1 species